AGAAGCCGUAUGCUUCGGAAGAAGAUUGUACAGUUUGGGAAGGGAUUUUUUUAAUAAAAAAUAAGAACCUACUUCAAC
rfam:Amborella trichopoda AMTR_V1.0_contig_5868, whole genome shotgun sequence.